GUUACUUACCCAAAUAACAUGUGGUAAGAAGUCAAGCCCUGAGGAAUUGUUAGGUGGAAAUAGAUGAUCCUUCUGUGGCUUUAUAUACAUCCUACCCUACUUGAGCAAAGUCCAGAGAAUCUCUUAGUGCUGCUUAGGGAAAUUUUAUCAGCAUCAGUAUAAUAUUAAGAGGAGGAAUCAAGCAAUUAAUUUCUUUCAAGGUUAGAAAUUGUUUAUGUGUGGAACAUGUUCGUGUCAAACUGUCUGGAUUUUGGCUGAGAAAUCUGCUUUCUUCGGGAGCUUUCACUGAACUGGAGUGGUGGAGGUGUUUCAGGUUCAUGUACCCAAAGGAUAACGUUUAUCAUGCUCCGGUUCGGCCAGCACUUCAUCAAGCCCUCUGUGGUCUUCCUGAAGACCGAGCUCUCCUUUGCUCUCGUGAACCGCAAGCCAGUGGUCCCGGGCCGUAUCCUUCUGAGCAGUGCCUUCACCAUGGGCACCUGCGCUCCUGGGAGAAGCAGGGAAGCUCGGUGUGCUCCUCAGGCCAGGUAGGGUUCUGCGCGGAUUUAUUCUGAAGCCAGGCGGUGGAACCUAGCACGCUUGGUUGGUGAUGCAGAACUGCCGAAAACAGUUGCUUAGCAACUGUGACCUUAGAGGUGAAUUUCUAUUGACCUUUUCACCACAGAAGAUGUAUAAACAGCCAGGUGCUACUAAAAGCAUUUUAAAGUGUGUCUGAGGGGCUACUGUUUAAGUCCCAUAUUAUGCUAAAUAAAACAUCCUGCUUCCCUUUCA
rnacentral:lncRNA from 1 species